GAUGAACGCUGGCGGCGUGCCUAAUACAUGCAAGUCGAGCGAACGGACGAGAAGCUUGCUUCUCUGAUGUUAGCGGCGGACGGGUGAGUAACACGUGGAUAACCUACCUAUAAGACUGGGAUAACUUCGGGAAACCGGAGCUAAUACCGGAUGAUAUUUUGAACCGCAUGGUUCAAAAGUGAAAGACGGUCUUGCUGUCACUUAUAGAUGGAUCCGCGCUGCAUUAGCUAGUUGGUAAGGUAACGGCUUACCAAGGCAACGAUGCAUAGCCGACCUGAGAGGGUGAGCGGCCACACUGGAACUGAGACACGGUCCAGACCCCUACGGGAGGCAGCAGUAGGGAAUCUUCCGCAAUGGGCGAAAGCCUGACGGAGCAACGCCGCGUGAGUGAUGAAGGUCUUCGGAUCGUAAAACUCUGUUAUUAGGGAAGAACAUAUGUGUAAGUAACUGUGCACAUCUUGACGGUACCUAAUCAGAAAGCCACGGCUAACUACGUG
rnacentral:rRNA from 1 species